GAAUCGCUGGCUCCGCUUAAGGGUGACCAGCGGCGCCCCUGCUGGAUGGCGGCCAAACUACAACUCUAAAUGAAGGUCAAAGUGGUCGUUAUCAGUUAAUGAGAAGCUGCUCCAUCAGCUUCUCAGCUGAAUGAAAGUUAAGAGAUAAAUUCCUCUGAGUUAUGAAGCUUGACCCAAACUGGAGCAUCAACAGGACAAUGACAACAAACCCAGACUGGAAUCUAGAACAGCUGCAGAAAAACAACCAAAGUGCUGCAACAGUCCAAGUCUAGACUUUAACCUGGUGGAAACUUAAAGUCCAUCAUCUUGGACUUUAAGGGCAGACCUUGGUUUCCUGCUGGCUGGCGCUCAUCGUCGGGGAUUGUAGAGCUUCAUCCUGGUCCUGCUCGUCCUCU